UACAGAGGUCCCUAGCGUUGUUCGGAUUUACUGGGCGUAAAGGGCACGUAGGCGGCGGGGCGUGUCGCGUGUGAAAUCUCCGGGCCCAACCCGGAAAGUGCGCGCGAAACUACCUCGCUGGAGUGCGGGAGAGGGGAUCGGAAUGCAGGGUGUAGCGGUGAAAUGCGUUGAUAUCCUGCAGAACACCGGAGGCGAAGGCGGAUCCCUUGAACGCUACUGACGCUAAGGUGCGAAAGCCGGGGGAGCGAAC
rnacentral:rRNA from 1 species